GACGAACGCUGGCGGCGUGCUUAACACAUGCAAGUCGAACGGAAAGGCCCUGCUUUUGUGGGGUGCUCGAGUGGCGAACGGGUGAGUAACACGUGAGUAACCUGCCCUUGACUUUGGGAUAACUUCAGGAAACUGGGGCUAAUACCGGAUAGGAGCUCCUGCUGCAUGGUGGGGGUUGGAAAGUUUCGGCGGUUGGGGAUGGACUCGCGGCUUAUCAGCUUGUUGGUGGGGUAGUGGCUUACCAAGGCUUUGACGGGUAGCCGGCCUGAGAAGGUGACCGGCCACAUUGGGACUGAGAUACGGCCCAGACUCCUACGGGAGGCAGCAGGGGGGAAUAUUGCACAAUGGGCGGAAGCCUGAUGCAGCAACGCCGCGUGCGGGAUGACGGCCUUCGGGUUGUAAACCGCUUUCGCCUGUGACGAAGCGUGAGUGACGGUAAUGGGUAAAGAAGCACCGGCUAACUACGUG
rnacentral:rRNA from 1 species